UCCAGUUAUUUUCAAAAAUAGCCUUUGUUGACACUAAAACAUCUACCAACGAAGAACCAGAGCAAACUGUUGUCCAUGGUGGGCACGUCCAGCAGUGUAAACUUUACACAAAACGUUGCCGCUCAUGUGGCUCCCUGAGGUGAUUCUUCAAGGGGCUUCCCCACCCGGCUCAGCCCCUCCGUGUGCGGUAGCAGAAGGAGCCCAGACUGUGGUCCUUCCCCCCAGAGCCUUAGCAUUGGCUGCACCGAGCAUCAGUGCGUCCCUCAGCACGUAGUCCUGCAGCCUGGACUGUGCCAGCCGGCAGCAUUCCCUUCCGGACAUCUCACUGUGCUGGGAGAACAACAGGUUUCGGGCAGACCAAAGGGCGUCUUUCACCGAGUUGAUGACCUUCCAGCAGCAGUUGACGUCCGUCUCUGUGUGUGUCCCCGGGAACAGCCCGUAGAUCAGAGGAUCCUCUGUCACACAGCUGCUGGUGGAUGAACCGGGACGUGGACCCGUACAUCUGUCUCCACACCCUCUUAACAAACCCACAGUCUGCAAAGAGGCAAUGGAAAGUGUCAGCGGUCGAGCGGCUUCCGCUGCUCCUGCGACCCCGGCUCGACAAGUGAGAUCGCAAGGGGCCUUGAAAGUAAGUAAGAAAACAGAGGAACGGAUGAAGACUGUGAAGAAAGCUCGACAGAAGGUAGAAGAUCCUCUGAUGCCUCCGGGGUCACCAGCAGACACAGUAAUUCGGGAAACAGGUGGAAGGGACCCUACACUGUUCUGCUAAUAACCUGAACGGCUCUGAAGGUUGACAGGAAAGAAGAUUGGAUUCACGCUGCUAGAUGCAAAAAGCACCACACAUCGAACACUGACUGACAUUUUACACAAUACCUGUGGAAGAUAUUGGAAAAGAUGCGGUGGUUAGGAGGGUUGGUGAUAGUAGGAGGGCUGGUUUCGGUUGCAGGCAGCAGUCAUUCCAACACCUUCUUGUCCCUAUUAUCAUAUGUAUGCUAGACAGGUGAGGCAGGGAGUCUGUUGGAUAUGCGCGGAGGUUCCCCAACAUGGAAAAAAGAUGAUACCCCUCACCCAGAAUGAGAUGCGAUCCAUUAGAUGGUUCACCAGAAACAAAAAUGGCACCAGAAAAUAUGCCAACUGCACCCAGGACCAAGGCAGGGAUCAGUACUUCCCUUGUUGCUUUGAGGAGUGGUACCUUCGGCCACCCCCCAAGGACUCCUCGAAAUUAAAAAAGGGUACUAAGGUAGAUCCUCCCCCCGCGCCGGUGAACACCACCUGCUAUUGUAAUGACAACUGCAGUGCCCCGUACCAGUUGGGGAACAGUACUUGUACUAAAUGGACUAAUACCACACGAACGGUUGCAGGAACCACCUGGAUUUGGGGAGGACGACUUAGACCGAUAAAUGGAACUUAUUGGAUAUGUGGGAAUAGGGCUGACCCAUGGUUGCCUGGAGAGCUGGCCGAUUCCGGGGGUGAUGGUAGGACAAUCACACCCAAGCAGAAUAAGGGAUGGAGCGGAUGUUGCUACUUAGCCUAUCUAGUACCUCACCUAAGGGUCAUGGUCAUCCCAAAGAGCACCCCCAUUGGACUCAAACCCGUAGGGGAAUAUCCAAAGCCAAACGAUUUGGCAUGAUAAUGUUCCCCAUGUAUGGAAUGGGUUGAACCACUACUGAAAUAGUUAAACUAGCUGCUGCUUUGGAAGAACUGGAUAAUGGUACUACUGAAGUGCUUGAAGAAACCCAAUCCCAACUACAUGGCAUAACCACUGAAAUGAUCGCUGUAAGGCAGACAGUUUUACAGAAUUGUAUGGCUCUUGACUUUAUAUUAGCUGAGAAAGGAGGCACCUGUGCAAUGAUAGGAAAGGAGUGUUGUACUUACAUUCCUGAUGCUUCUGAAAAUAUAACAGAUCUAGGACAGCACAUAAUGGAAAAGGUAAAGGAGAUUAGGAAGGUGGGAGAACAGCUGGAAAACUUUAAUAGUGGAGGAUCUUGGUGGGAAGGAAUAUGGGGAUGGUUUUCUGGAUGGGGAAGCUGGAUCACACAUGGAAAUAUAAUAGUGGCCAUGGGAUGUGUUUUAGGCUGUUGUGCAUGUGGAGCAUUGAGGUUGUGCUGUAGUCAGUUAAUGAAGAACGUUUCGUCUGGCCCUGAAGUUCCUAUGGUACCCCAAAUGAUUAGAGAUAAAUCUAGCAAGGAACACUAGUGGGGUGAAGAGGUGUACUCAAAGAAAGAAAGACCCUUCCCCUCUGGAUACGACCCCCCUUACGAGGAAGAGGAGGAAAUACCAUAUGAGGAAUGUUGAUCUAAAAGAUCAACAAGGAGGGAACUGUGGAAGAAAAUUUAAAGCAUUAUUAAAAAGGGUCAAAGCCAUUUCUGCCAUGACAGCUGUCUGUCCUUGGUGGACUGCCAACUAGCUGACCGUGCCUAGCUACUGUAUAAGUAACUGACUCCUGUGCUUGCUUGUACUAUAAGAAGGAUGUGGGAACCUGUUUUUCUUUGGAAUCAUUGUUCUAUAAUCUAUCCUAACGCUGCAGGCAGAGUAAUUGCUAAACUGACAGCUGCUUGGGGUUAUCACCUAGAACAUGCU